rnacentral:rRNA from 1 species
AGUGAACGCUGGCGGCGUGCCUAAUACAUGCAAGUCGAACGGAGUGGCGCACGGGUGAGGAAUAUAUAGCUAAUCUGCUCCUUGCUGGAGGACAACAGUUAGAAAUGACUGCUAAUACUCCAUAGAAAGGGAUGAGACUAUAUCGUAUCAGCUAGUCGGUGGGGUAACGGCCUACCGAGGCUAUGACGCGUAACUGGUCUGAGAGGAUGGUCAGUCACAUUGGAACUGAGGCACAAGCCAAGCGCCUACGGGAGGCAGCAGUAGGGAAGAUUGCGCAAGGGGCGAAACCCUGACGCAGCAACGACGCGUGGAAGAUGACUCUUUUCGGAGCGUAAACUCCUUUUGUUAGGGAAGCGGUACCUAACGAAUAAGCACCGGCUAACUCCGUGCCAGCAGCCGCGGUAAUUC